rnacentral:rRNA from 1 species
UACGGAGGGGACUAGCGUUGUUCGGAAUUAUUGGGCGUAAAGAGCUCGUAGGCGGUGUGUCGCGUCGGCCGUGAAAACCUGCAGCUUAACUGUGGGCUUGCGGUCGAUACGGGCAUCACUGGAGUUCGGCAGGGGAGACUGGAAUUCCUGGUGUAGCGGUGAAAUGCGCAGAGUAUCAGGAGGAACACCGGUGGCGAAGGCGGGUCUCUGGGCCGAUACUGACGCUGAGGAGCGAAAGCGUGGGGAGCGAACAGG